GGCAACCCUGACGGAGCAACGCCGCGUGGGGGAGGAAGGUCUGUGGAUUGUAAACUCCUUUUCUCUAGGAAGAAGUUCUGACGGUAGCAGAGGAAUCAGCCUCGGCUAACUCCGUGCCAGCAGCCGCGGUAAUACGGAGGAGGCAAGCGUUAUCCGGAAUUAUUGGGCGUAAAGCGUCCGCAGGUGGCGAUUCAAGUCUGCUGUCAAAACACGGGGCUUAACUCCGUAAAGGCAGUGGAAACUGAAUAGCUAGAGUGCCGUAGGGGUAGAGGGAAUUCCCGGUGUAGCGGUGAAAUGCGUAGAGAUCGGGAAGAACAUCGGUGGCGAAAGCGCUCUACUGGACGGCAACUGACACUCAGGGACGAAAGCUAGGGGAGCG
rnacentral:rRNA from 1 species